UACAGAGGUCUCAAGCGUUGUUCGGAUUCAUUGGGCGUAAAGGGUGCGUAGGUGGCGGGGUAAGUCUGGUGUGAAAUCUCGGGGCUCAACCCCGAAACUGCACUGGAUACUGCCUUGCUUGAGUACUGGAGAGGAGAUUGGAAUUUACGGUGUAGCAGUGAAAUGCGUAGAUAUCUGGAGGAAUACCGGUGGCGAAGGCGGCAUCCUGGACCAUAACUGACGCUGAGGCGCGAAAGCUAGGGGAGCAAACGGG
rnacentral:rRNA from 1 species